rnacentral:rRNA from 1 species
UAGAGUUUGAUCCUGGCUCAGGAUGAACGCUGGCGGCGUGCCUAACACAUGCAAGUCGAACGGGAAUCUUCGGAUUCUAGUGGCGGACGGGUGAGUAACGCGUAAGAAUCUAACUUCAGGACGGGGACAACAGUUGGAAACGACUGCUAAUACCCGAUGUGCCGCAAGGUGAAACCUAAUUGGCCUGGAGAAGAGCUUGCGUCUGAUUAGCUAGUUGGUGGGGUAAAGGCCUACCAAGGCGACGAUCAGUAGCUGGUCUGAGAGGAUGAGCAGCCACACUGGGACUGAGACACGGCCCAGACUCCUACGGGAGGCAGCAGUGGGGAAUUUUCCGCAGUGGGCGAAAGCCUGACGGAGCAACGCCGCGUGAGGGAGGAAGGUCUUUGGAUUGUAAACCUCUUUUCUCAAGGAAGAAGUUCUGACGGUACUUGAGGAAUCAGCCUCGGCUAACUCCGUGCCAGCAGCCGCGGUAAUACGGGGGAGGCAAGCGUUAUCCGGAAUUAUUGGGCGUAAAGCGUCCGCAGGUGGUCAGCCAAGUCUGCCGUCAAAUCAGGUUGCUUAACGANCUAAAGGCGUGGAACUGGCAGACUA